rnacentral:rRNA from 1 species
GUCUUUUUGGUAAUAAUUUAAAGUCUAAUCUGCCCACUGAUUUAAAUUAAAGGGCUGCAGUAUAUUGACUGUACAAAGGUAGCAUAAUCAUUAGUUUUUUAAUUGAAAACUUGUAUGAAGGAUUUGAUGAAAUAUAAACUGUCUCUUAUUUAAAAUUAAAAAUUUAUUUUUUAGUUAAAAAGCUAAAAUAAUUUUAAAAGACGAGAAGACCCUAUAGAGUUUUAUAUUAAAUUAUUUUAUAAUUAUUUAUAUAAUUAAAAAUUAAAAAUGAAUUUAAUAUUUUAUUGGGGUGAUAGAAAAAUUAAAAAAACUUUUUUUAAAUUAUUAACAUAGAUAUAUGAAUAAAUGAUCCAUAAUUAAUGAUUAUAAGAAAAAAUUACCUUAGGGAUAACAGCGUAAUAUUUUUUUUUAGUUCAUAUAAAAAAAAAAGUUUGCGACCUCGAUGUUGGAUUAAGAUAAAAUUUAAAUGCAAAAGUUUAAAAGUUUUGAUCUGUUCGAUCAUUAAAAUCUU